CGCUCUGCACGCUCGUCGCCGCCGUUCCGUGUAGUCUGCCCUGGUGCCAGUCGAACAGGGGUGAGGGAGAGGUGUCGAGAGUGAGACGCGAUGGAGGUGAGAGGGUAGAACUGCCAUCACCACCGUCCUAUCCGUGGGGUUUGAGAUCGCGUCGCCGUCUUGGAUCUUCGGUGCCGCCGCAGAGGAGAGUGGAGCAGUCACCACCGCAGGAGGAGUUUUGCGCGUCACCGUGAGCUGCGAACCACUGACCGAGAAGAAGCUCCAUCCUCGUUACCGCGCUGGAGUCGUCGCCGCCAGCACCGUGCACCACCGUCGCUGCUGUCGUCGAAGGGAGCUUGCCGUCACAGGUCAGUCGCCAUCGAGCCUGAAGGGGAACACCAUUGAUAUCACCUGACAGCAGCUCCCCUGCAUUCCCAAACUCCAUUCUUGGAACAUCGUUGCUUGUUUAUCAUUCAAAAAUGGCAUAAUUGAUACUGAGGCCGUUGUUGUUCUUGCUCUGAGAGAUCUGAUGCCACAAUUGCUGCCGGGUCAAUUCGGAGUUUUGGUUGUUUCAUUUUGUUGGUUUUGAUAUGUGGUGUUGAA